GGAGGAGACUGAGGGAGGGGGAAGACUGGAGAGGGAUGCUGGCGGAGAGAAUGCGUCGUGACGUCACGGAAAAGAGUCCUUAUAUACUGGCGCCUGGGCGCCAUCUCAGUCUUUCGAGGCUGCGGGUUGGCUCUUGGAAUGGUGCUAGGGAUGAAUGCAAUGUGGCUUUUGAUGGCUUCUGAUGGGCAGCUAAGCGCCCAGGAUAUGAGAAUCGCUGCUGGGGUUGUAAAGCGCAAGCUUAACACUGUAUUUGUGGGCAAAAAGGUGCUAGGCAGAGUUAGCUGAAAGGUGAAGAGGUGAACUUGUCUGACAUGUCUGGACCAGCCUUUUUAGUGGGUACCCGGUAUUAUCUGUGGAUGGCUUGUUUGGGGUGCAGAUUUUGAGGACCUUUUGUAUAAAGGUGUGAAGAGGCCUUGGCUACAAGGCAUUGAUUGGAACAUGCCUUAAAAGGUAUUGUAGCCUUAAGUUAGGUUUCUGUUUUAUGUGAUUUUUCUUUUUUAAGCCGAUACAAUGAUGAUAACAUAGUUCAGCAGACUUGACAGUGAUGAGCAAAUAACUGUCUUUCGCUCCUAUCUGAUGUAUCUGGCUGUAACAAUUCUGUUUAUACAGUUUCUCAGAAAUGUUAAUGGAUUUGGAUAAGCCUAAUGACUAAUGGAGAUGUCCUAUACUAUUAAACUUAAGUCAUAGUCAAGCUUAGGGUUACCAAGAGGGAAACUGAAGGCACACUACAUACAAGGUAGCUAACCAGGGACCAACUAUAAUAGCACAGUGUGGUCUACUCAGUGUUAACCUAAAGCUAAUACAACUUAAUUCAACUAUACUCCAAUAAAAACAUUAAAAUUCCAGAAUUACCAAUUGACAUUUAGAUGAAGACAGGCUAACAUUCUUGUGAGGAAGUUUUUAUGGUAUAUAAUGUACAUAAUGCCAGAUGACUUGUUUAGUUGAUUAUUUUAGAAUCAUUUUUUAGAUCGGCUUGGGAUUCAUAGCAAAGUUAACCACAUACCAUGCACACAAAAUCUAGCACUGGAAUAGUACGUUGGGGUUCACUCAUGUUCUGAGUGGGGACAAGUGCUGACAAACACAACAUACAAAAUACGUUCACUGUCCUAAAUUUUUUCACAUUUUCAAACAGGCAGAUCUUCUGUUACCCUGAAGAUUCAAAGGCAUUUAAAUGAGCAGCAGUCAACGCAACUUAACCAAUUGACAGGUAGCUGGAUGGAUGCUUGUGGGAUGGAUAGAAGAAAAGUAAACAACUUUGUAUUUUAAUAAAUGUUUUUUACUUAAAAGCCA